CCUACGGGAGACAGCAGUGAGGAAUAUUGGUCAAUGGGCGAGAGCCUGAACCAGCCAAGUCGCGUGAAGGAUGAAGGAUCUAUGGUUUGUAAACUUCUUUUAUAUGGGAAUAAAGUGAGGAACGUGUUCCUUUUUGUAUGUACCAUAUGAAUAAGCAUCGGCUAACUCCGUGCCAGCAGCCGCGGUAAUACGGAGGAUGCGAGCGUUAUCCGGAUUUAUUGGGUUUAAAGGGUGCGUAGGUGGUUAAUUAAGUCAGCGGUGAAAGUUUGUGGCUCAACCAUAAAAUUGCCGUUGAAACUGGUUGACUUGAGUAUAUUUGAGGUAGGCGGAAUGCGUGGUGUAGCGGGGAAAUGCAUAGAUAUCACGAGGAACCCCGAUUGCGAAGGCAGCCUGCCGGGGUGCGACUGACGCUGAGGCUCGAAGGUGCGGGUAUCAAACAGGAUUAGAUACCCUGGUAGUC
rnacentral:rRNA from 1 species